AGAGUUUGAUCCUGGCUCAGGACGAACGCUGGCGGCGUGCUUAACACAUGCAAGUCAGGGGGUGGGGCAACCCAUCACCGGCGAACGGGUGCGUAACACGUGAGCGACCUGCCCUCGAGUGGGGGAUAGCCGGCCCAACGGCCGGGUAAUACCGCAUACGACGUCGGCUUAGAAGCCGGUCGUGAAACCACUUGGGCUCGAGGAGGGGCUCGCGGCCUAUCAGCUAGUUGGUGGGGUAACGGCCCACCAAGGCGAUGACGGGUAGCUGGUCUGAGAGGAUGGCCAGCCACAUUGGGACUGAGAAACGGCCCAGACUCCUACGGGAGGCAGCAGUGGGGAAUCUUGCGCAAUGGCCGAAAGGCUGACGCAGCGACGCCGCGUGGGGGAUGAAGGCCUUCGGGUUGUAAACCCCUGUUGCCCGGGACGAACGACCGAUUUCGAUCGGUGUGACGGUACCGGGUGAGGAAGCACCGGCUAACUCUGUGCCAGCAGCCGCGGUAAUACAGAGGGUGCGAGCGUUGUCCGGAAUCACUGGGCGUAAAGGGCGCGUAGGCGGUCUGCUAAGCGUGUGGUGAAAGCUCGGGGCUCAACCCCGAGUCGGCCGUGCGAACUGGUGGACUCGAGCACGUCAGAGGCAGGCGGAAUUCCGGGUGUAGCGGUGGAAUGCGUAGAGAUCCGGAAGAACACCGGUGGCGAAGGCGGCCUGCUGGGACGUGGCUGACGCUGAGGCGCGACAGCGUGGGGAGCAAACAGGAUUAGAUACCCUAGUAGUCC
rnacentral:rRNA from 1 species